AGGAGAGUUUGAUCCUGGCUCAGAACGAACGCUGGUGGCGUGUCUUAUACAUGCAAGUCGAGCGAGGCAGCAAUGCCGAGCGGCGAACGGGUGAGUAACGCGUAAGCAAUCUGCCCCAUAUCAGGAAAUACCCGUGCCAACGCGCGGUUAAUGUCCAGGAGAGUGGCCUUCUGCAUGGAAGGUUGACUAGAGAUUUAUCGGUAUGGGAUGAGCUUGCGUCCGAUUAGCUAGUUGGCGGGGCAACGGCCCACCAAGGCGACGAUCGGUAGCCGGCCUGAGAGGGUGAUCGGCCACAUUGGGACUGAGAUACGGCCCAGACUCCUACGGGAGGCAGCAGUAGGGAAUAUUGCACAAUGGGGGAAACCCUGAUGCAGCAACGCCACGUGUGGGAAGAAGCAUUUCGGUGUGUAAACCACUGUCAUGAGGGAAUAAGGCCCGUUUUCGGACGGGAUUGAAUGUACCUUGAGAGGAAGCACCGGCAAACUUCGUGCCAGCAGCCGCGGUAAUACGAGGGGUGCAAGCGUUGUUCGGAAUUACUGGGCGUAAAGGGAGCGUAGGCGGAGAUUCAAGCGGAUUGUACAAUCCCGGGGCCCAACCCCGGCUCUGCAGUCCGAACUGGAUCUCUUGGAUAGUUCAGGGGCAGGCGGAAUUCCUGGUGUAGCGGUGGAAUGCGUAGAGAUCAGGAAGAACACCGAUGGCGAAGGCAUCUCACGAAGGGGUGAUUGACGCUGAGGCACGAAAGCGUGGGGAUCAAACAGGAUUAGAUACCCUGGUAGUCCCCU
rnacentral:rRNA from 1 species